rnacentral:rRNA from 1 species
UGGGGAAUAUUGCACAAUGGGCGCAAGCCUGAUGCAGCGACGCCGCGUGGGGGAUGACGGCCUUCGGGUUGUAAAACCUCUUUCAGCAGGGACGAAGCGAAAGUGACGGUACCUGCAGAAGAAGCACCGGCCAACUACGUGCCAGCAGCCGCGGUAAUACGUAGGGUGCGAGCGUUGUCCGGAAUUACUGGGCGUAAAGAGCUCGUAGGUGGUUUGUCGCGUUGUUCGUGAAAAACCGGGGGGCUUAACCCCUCGGCGUGCGGGCGAUACGGGCAGACUAGAGUACUGCAGGGGAGACUGGAAUUCCUGGUGUAGCGGUGGAAUGCGCAGAUAUCAGGAGGAACACCGGUGGCGAAGGCGGGUCUCUGGGCAGUAACUGACGCUGAGGAGCGAAAGCGUGGGGAGCGAACAGGAUUAGAUACCCUGGUAGUCCACGCCGUAAACGGUGGGUACUA